UAACAAUCAGAACUGGUAAAGAUCACCUCUUUGAAAGUUGCAAUGAAAAUAUUUUUAUGAGCAACAUCCAAACACUAUUUAAUGUCAUUCCUCGACCAAGAGUGGAUAUUCUAACCAUAUAGCCCACCACGAAGGAAGGGAUGGUAAAAGAAUUACAGUUACAUGUCAAAUUAGCGUUAAUUGAAUUUCUAACAUAACCCGAUAGAAAAAUCUGUAGUCUUAACACAGAGUAUAUGUGGGCUGCCGUAAAAAUAAAAUAUAAAAUAUAUAUAUAUAUAUAUAUAUAUAUAUAUAAAAGCGUGGUCAUGGCAAAAAUAGUUUAAUCAGUUACGAUGGUUUUAGGUUUUCCACCUCUGGCCCACUUUAUAAAAAAGGAGAAAAUAUAACCAGAUUAUGUAUUAGCAGAUGUGCUUUAAUAAACAAAAAGAGAAGCCUAUCACACUAUUUACCAUAGAUGUAGUGCAAAGGUGUCUGGCAGUAAACAGGGUUAAGAUAUUCAGCCAGUGCUUUCUUGGUACAAAUAAGGUCUAUUUCUCUCCUGUAUAACACAUUUUUGCCUUAACAUGCCAAUAGUCCCUAUCCUGUUUGAAUGUGCCCAACUCUUCCAGUAAGGAGCAGAUGAUAGAUUUGUUGGCCUUUCCAAACUCAGAAGAUAAUGUUUUAAGUGCCAGAAAACAAACAAAAAGCUCAGACACCAGCGUGGAAGCAUUUCUUGGGGCUGGUGUGUAAUGUAAUAAAAAGAAAACAGCUUUCUAUGUACAGUAUUAGUCAGAAAUAUUUUUGCAAAAUGAUAAAAAAUAUGUCAUUGUGUAGGAAAUAAGAGGAUACGUAUAGAUUUUUUAAAUUAAAAAAAACAAAAAAUAUAAAAAAUUUAAUAGUGUCAAAUAUUGGCUUUUUUCUGUGUAAUUCAGUAACUAGCAAGUAGCUUUUAAAAUGUAGGUUUUAUUUAGGAUUUGCAGGCGUGCCUAUGUGUUUAUCUUGUUGAACAAGCUGCUUCCACAAGCUGCAGAUUCUUACAGUGUUUAAGAAGUCCACUGGGGUAGCUGUGUACAGAUCCCAUUGCAGUUUAUCCAGUAUAAUUCUUUCCAUCCUCAAUAUUUCAGCAGAGGAACACAUACUCCCACUCUGCACAGCGAGAUUCUUCACCGAUGGUAUUACCUGUAACGAGCAAACCAAUAAAUAAAUAAAGCUGAGCCAAACUUC